GCGGCAGGCUUAACACAUGCAAGUCGAGCGCCUCGCAAGAGGAGCGGCAGACGGGUGAGUAACGCGUGGGAAUCUACCCAUCUCUACGGAACAACUCCGGGAAACUGGAGCUAAUACCGUAUACGUCCUUCGGGAGAAAGAUUUAUCGGAGAUGGAUGAGCCCGCGUUGGAUUAGCUAGUUGGUGGGGUAAUGGCCUACCAAGGCGACGAUCCAUAGCUGGUCUGAGAGGAUGAUCAGCCACACUGGGACUGAGACACGGCCCAGACUCCUACGGGAGGCAGCAGUGGGGAAUAUUGGACAAUGGGCGCAAGCCUGAUCCAGCCAUGCCGCGUGAGUGAUGAAGGCCCUAGGGUUGUAAAGCUCUUUCAACGGUGAAGAUAAUGACGGUAACCGUAGAAGAAGCCCCGGCUAACUUCGUGCCAGCAGCCGCGGUAAUACGAAGGGGGCUAGCGUUGUUCGGAAUUACUGGGCGUAAAGCGCACGUAAGGCGGAUACUUAAGUCAGGGGUGAAAUCCCGGGGCUCAACCCCGGAACUGCCUUUGAUACUGGGUAUCUCGAGUCCGGAAGAGGUGAGUGGAAUUCCGAGUGUAGAGGUGAAAUUCGUA
rnacentral:rRNA from 1 species